CUUUGUUGGAACUGCACGGGGGUCUCAAGAUUGGAGAUGGAUGGCGGGCUGGAGCAAGCUCGGCCUGCUGGGCCUUUGAGUGGGCCUUCCAAUGAUCGGUGAUUCUAAACAUCUAGGUUCAAAGUUCUUUGGUGUACCGCAAUUGAGCCCAUUGGCACCGAGAAACUUUGUAUGCUAUUAUUCUAGUUUAGAAUUAUGUUAUUCUGCUAGGCUCCUGCAAAAGGAGCGGAAUUGUCUCAAGUAUAAUGGCACUUAUCCCCUUGUUG
rnacentral:lncRNA from 1 species